AGCACGAAGCAAUUAGUAAUAAGUGUUCGUGCUAGAAAAUUGCUUAGUGGACGAACGGGUGAGUAACACAUGAGCAACCUACCUUUUACUGGGGAAUAACAUUUAGAAAUAGAUGCUAAUACCGCAUAUGACCACAAUCUGACAUCAGAUGGGGGUGAAAGAAGUAAUUCGGUAAAAGAUGGGCUUGUGGUUCAUUAGCUAGUUGGUAAGGGUAAUGGCCUACCAAGGCAACGAUGAAUAGCCGAACUGAGAGGUUAAACGGCCACACUGGAACUGAGAUACGGUCCAGACUCCUACGGGAGGCAGCAGUUAGGAAUAUUGGGCAAUGGGCGAAAGCCUGACCCAGCAACGCCGCGUGGAGGAUGAAGGUCUUCGGAUUGUAAACUUCUGUUCUAAGGGAAAAAACAAAUGAUGGUACCUUAGGAGAAAGCCACGGCUAACUACGUGCCAGCAGCAGC
rnacentral:rRNA from 1 species